GAAGGCAAAUGUAUGGAACUGGAAGAAAGCAUCCUGAGUGAGGUAACAGAAAGACAAACAUGGUUGUCUUUGAGCUGAUGGAAGAAAGUGGCACUGUGAUUUGGAUUCUGUGAGCUGUAAGAUGCAAUCACAAUAGAAGACACAGAGAAGCACUGGUAUCAUGCCUGGGUGGGCAAGUGUGGCACAUGUGUGCAUCUCAGGUUCUCAGCCUGUAAAGGAGGAUCAGUUGGGGUCCAGAGUUCUAGAUCAGUCUGACAAAGUUUAAAGAAAAAUAUAAAAACUGGGCAUGCUAGUGCACACCUGGUACCUAGUGCCUGGGAGCAGAAACAGGGCAACAUAAGUUUGAGGUCAGCUUGGGCUACACAGUAAGUUCCAGAUCAAAUUGGAAAAUGCACUUUAGCCCCUGCUAUUGCCACUGCCCCUGGAUCAUCUUUUAGAUGCUUCCACACAGCAUAAGUCAACAAAUGGGCACCCACGUAUUGUGUUUUUAAAAAUUGUUCUUUUCUCCUAAAUAAAAAGGCUUGCUUAUUUUUGC